AUGUGCCAAAACCCGGAUUCCAACCCGCCUCCAUUCUUACAGCAAAAAAUGUAGGUUAAACAAGCAUUCGGUAGCCAAUUCAUCAUCGUCCCCAACUCAAUUUCGCGCCGUCAGCAUUAGGGAGAAAGAAUCAAGACACCAUUUCCAAAAGCUCAGGUCGAUGCGCAGCGUCGUUCCCUUCACCGUGUUUCAAAGACUUCGUGUUGUCUCUCUCACGAACAGAAAAAAGGCUUCGCAGGCUUUUGGAAAAACAACGCGGCGCCGAAAUCUUCACCGUGUCUCGAUGGUUCCAAAAUCAAAUUCCGGAUUUAAAUUUCAACAAUUUAAAGUCCGAUUCAACUCAAUCUCCAUGUGAGCGUGAAAUUAAAGGGGACGAAAUCGAAACGAAGCAAAGGGAAUUUACCGAUUCGGAGGAAUUCGUUCUGAUCUACUUCAUGCGUUGAACUUCCAUGUUCGUUAUGGAGUAGCAUUGCAUUGAGGGUGACGUCGAUCUUUUCUGCAGUGGAUGGCUACAGAUUUGACCAUGAAGAAGUAACAUCCGUCUACGUGAGAAACCUGCCUGCUGAUAUUUUCCUACACAUCUGGCUUGAAGUCGGCAUUGGAUUUCAUGAGCUUGGCUUUGGAUGCUUGGAAUGGCUAGGAUCGGUGGUGUAGUCUUAUGAGAAGUGAAAGGCUUAACAUUUCUAUGCUUGGAAUGCAUGGACCCGGUCCACAUUGGCUAUGUGAAGUUAUAUGGAUUUGAUGAUUAUGGAGCUUUUUUUUAGAGUUUAGAUUUAUUUUGUAUAGGUGGUUUAUCUAGUGAAUUUAAAAUGAAUGUAUGUGGUUGAAUUGAUAUUUGUAUGCGUGUAUGGUUUAUGUAUGGAUUGAAACUUCGAAUGGAUUUUAGAAAUCCAAUGUAUGGUUGAAAUUGUAUGUAGGAAUUUACUGUAAUUUUGUAUGUAGGAAUUUACUGUAAUUUUGUAUGUAGUUCAUGGUUUUAGUUUUGAAAUGUAAUUAGGAUUGGAAUGUUAAUGGAUGAGAGAUAUUAUGGUAUUGUGAAA